rnacentral:rRNA from 1 species
UCCAGACUCCUACGGGAGGCAGCAGUGGGGGAUAUUGCACAAUGGGGGGAACCCUGAUGCAGCGACGCCGCGUGGGUGAAGGAGCGUUUCGGCGCGUAAAGCCCUAUCGGCAGGGAAGAAGGAGGACGGUACCUGACUAAGAAGCCCCGGCUAACUACGUGCCAGCAGCCGCGGUAAUACGUAGGGGGCAAGCGUUAUCCGGAUUUACUGGGUGUAAAGGGGGCGCAGACGGCAGCGCAAGCCAGGAGUGAAAGCCCGGGGCCCAACCCCGGGACUGCUCUUGGAACUGCGCGGCUGGAGUGCAGGAGGGGCAGGCGGAAUUCCUGGUGUAGCGGUGAAAUGCGUAGAUAUCAGGAGGAACACCGGUGGCGAAGGCGGCCUGCUGGACUGCGACUGACGUUGAGGCCCGAAAGCGUGGGGAGCAAACAGGAUUAGAUACCCCUGUACA